CCUACGGGUGGCAGCAGUGAGGAAUAUUGGUCAAUGGUCGCGAGACUGAACCAGCCAAGUAGCGUGAAGGAAGACUGUACUGAGUGUCGUAAACUUCUUUUGUCAAGGAACAAAGUCAGGGACGCGUCCCUUGUUGUGUGUACUUUAUGAAUAAGCAUCGGCUAACUCCGUGCCAGCAGCCGCGGUAAUACGGAGGAUCCGAGCGUUAUCCGGAUUUAUUGGGUUUAAAGGGAGGGUAGACGGGUUGUUAAGUCAGUUGUGAAAGGCUGCGGGUCAAACGCAAAAUUGCAUUUGAUACUGGCAGUCUCGAGUAGAGGUGAGGUAGGCGGAAUGCGUGGUGUAGCGGUGAAAUGCUUAGAUAUCGCGAAGAACUCCGAUUGCGAAGGCAGCUUAC
rnacentral:rRNA from 1 species